ensembl:lncRNA
CAGGAGGCGGUCACGCUAGUCAGUGUGGCGCAACUGCUCCAGCGCUGGGUCACCAAGCCACACCGAGGAUGGGAGAUGAGAGCAAAGUUCCUGCCUUCCUCCCUCCGAGUAAUGACCCUGUGGAGUCUGAGCACGUUCCAGAAGGUUCCAGGAAGGAGGCAGUGAGCUGACUCUGGAGAAAACGCUCUUGGCCAGAAGCCAGCUUCAGGCCAGAUGGGUCCCUGAGGCACUGAGGCGGGUGUACCCAGGUCUCUGGGAGCUGUGAAAGCGCCCAUUUCUGCAUGAACUUGGGGCACACGCAGCCCAGGGGAAUGUGGAUCCUAAGUUUAUCUGUAAGGGGGUCUGGGGGACAUUGAUGGCUGGGGGUGGUUUCUCAUCUGUGUGACUGAUGGGAGAAAGGAGGGAGGCGGGCUGGGCUGGGAAGGAGCGGCUGCUCGUUGGUUUGGCUGGGGACCUGCUCCCACCUGGCUCCAUGGGAGCCUUGGAGCAAGGCAGCUACAGAGUUAGACUGUCCUGAGGCCAGGCCAACCGGCUGGGGGAGGCCCCCAAAUCCAACAUUGACCGUGGAGUUGGGGUACAACCUUGAUGAGAACAUUCAAGGUUCUGGGAGCCUACGAGUCUAGAAUGUGGUGGGGUCCCCAAGGCCCACAGUUUGCAGGAUCCUGUCUAAAGAAUGAAUCUAUAGGGCAGAUUGUGAAUGAGUACAGCCCCUCUUUAUAAUCAUUCAGAAUUUCAAACAGGACAUGAACCCAGUGGCCCAAGUGACCACCCAGGCUUCAGCAGGGAGUCAGCCCCCCUGCCCCCAGGGAUCCUGGUAUCACAGCUGUCGGCUCCCCAGAUGGGGCUCCUCUUACAGCCAGACUCUGUCCUCAUGGAACCACACUCUAGAGGCAGAGACCACGGGUCUGGAGACAGUAGAGGGAGGAGAAGGAUCAGGUGUGGAGGGCAAAGGAUGGUCUUCUGAGGUUGCCUUUGGGCAAAGCCAGGAGUCGAGUGGAUAUUAGGAGCAGAGACCCUGAUGGGGAGUGUGCCUGCUGGUGGAACAGCAAGGAGGCUAGAGGGCGGGAGGGUGAGGUGAGUGAUAACAGGUGGACAGUCAUGGGGCCACCUUAACGAGUACCACAGACAGGGGCUCAGAUGACAGGAAUUUAUCUUCUCACGGCCUGGAGGCUGGACAUCCAAGACCAUGGUAUGUACAGGGCUGGUUCCUCGUGAGGCCAUCCCUCUGUACCUGUCCAUGUCCUGACCUCCUUCUCAUAAGGACACACUCAUCUGGAGUCAAUACCCACCCUGGUGACCUCAUCUGACCUCAGUCGCCUCUUUCCACAGAGUCACACUCUGAAAUGCUGGGAGUCAGGAUGUCAACACAUGAAUUGGGGGGGACACAUUCAGCUGGUGGCAGCUGUUGGUGUCUAAGGAGUGUGCCCAGAGGUGUGCAGUAACCAAGCCUUAAUAAGAGAGAGAGGGUCUCUCCUGCCCUGGCAGGAAUUUUGAAAAUAAUUGAUAA